rnacentral:rRNA from 1 species
UUCGGCGGCAAUGGCAAAGAGGAAACACCCGUUCCCAUCCCGAACACGGAAGUUAAGCUCUUUUGCGCCGAUGGUACUGCUUGGGAGACUAGGUGGGAGAGUAGGACGCUGCCGGAA